UGCCGAAACCCGGGAUCGAACCAAGGACCUUUAGUUCUUCAGUUUAACGCUCUCCCAACUGAGCUAUUUCGGC
rnacentral:tRNA from 1 species